rnacentral:rRNA from 1 species
UACGGAGGGGUGCGAGCGUUGUCCGGAAUCACUGGGCGUAAAGGGCGCGUAGGCGGCGCGAGCAGUCGAUCGUGAAAGUCCGGAGCUCAACUCCGGAUCGGCGGUCGAUACUCUCGUGCUUGAGCACUGUAGAGGCAGAUGGAAUUCCGGGUGUAGCGGUGGAAUGCGUAGAGAUCCGGAAGAACACCGGUGGCGAAGGCGGUCUGCUGGGCAGUUGCUGACGCUGAUGCGCGACAGCGUGGGGGAGCAAACGAGGGAUUAGAAAACCCCC